CCCAGUGGUAUGUCAGCUGUCCAGUGCUACAAAGUGCCUGUGCCAGUGUUACACAGCUGGGAGAUUAAUGGGGCUGCUCUUUCACUGGCUGUUAGCUGUUACUGUUCUGGUCAUGGCUAGUACCAGGUCUGGGUAGUGUUGUGCAUCCUUUUGAGAGUGGUCCAUUGUUCACUGCUAAGGAUGGUCCUAGUCUGGUUGCAUACACU